rnacentral:lncRNA from 1 species
AUUCCUCAAAUAUUUAUUGAGCAUCUACCUGGUGCCAGGCAUUGUUCUGACAUUGGGAAUAUGGUAGAGUACAGAACAGACAAAACUUCUGCCCACACACAGCUUACAUUGUAAUUGGGCAGAAUGUUCAUAGCAGCAUUGUUUGUAAUUGCAAAAUGCUGAAAACAAUCCAAAUCUCCAUAAAUAGAAGAAUGGAUAAAUAAAUUGUGAAAUAGUCAUACAAUCGAAUACCAUAUAGCUGUGAAAACAUGAAAUACAGUUACAUGCAUAAACAUGGAUGGGAAUCUCAAAAACAAUGUCAGAAAAAAGAGGUCACAGAAGAAUACAUACAGCAUGAUUCCAUUUACAUAAAAGUUCAAAAACAAAUUUAAACAAUAUAUUACUAGGAAUACAUACAUAGAUGGUAGAGUCACAAAUAAAAACAUGGGAAAUUAUUAACAAAAAAUCCAGAAGAAUGUUUACCUCAUAUAAUCUAUGGAGGGAGAACAAAUGGGGGAUUCUAGGCAGCUGAGAAUGUUCUAGUUCUUAAGCUGAAGGCUGAGUACGUGUGAUCAUGUUAUUUUUUAAACCAUACAUACACAAUAUACUUUUGUAUUAUUUCACAACAAACAUUUUAAAAGAAAAAAGAUACAAGGUUAUGCAAUACGUACUUUCAUCAACAAAGGGAGAAUAUCUUCUGAUAUUUCAGCCACUACUGUGCUAUGCAAAUCAGUCAAUUAUAAUAAUGGGGGAAGCAAUACAUGAUAAUAUGAAAAGGAAAUGAGUAUGGACUAUUCCUCACGGAAGUUAACUAGAUUCCCACAGGGUCAAGAUCCAAUGAGAUGGCAAUAUUAUAGCACUGUUCUUCCAAGUUGGCUUGGACUCACUGGCAUGACUCUGGUUAAUUGGUUACUUUGUUCUCUGGGUAUAAUUAUUUAUAUAAAGCAGACAAUGAAAUGAUAGGUGAUAUAAAUUCCAAAUAAAUUGACAAAGAAACCACCUCUUUACUGAAUUAUGUUGACUUUCAAAAGUACAAAUAUCCUCUCACACAUUCUCCUAAUAAUGAUUUAUGUAUUAAGUAUUCCAAAAAUAUGGAAAGUGUAUGGCAGCAACUGACCGUUUCUCCACAUUGCUCAAUAACAGGUGCCUUGCUGAUCACACAAAUGUUAUAACAAUUUUGCAAUCACGUCUUUACCAAGGUUAUCAAUGUCAGUGCCAUUAUGUAGACUUAAAAAGACAUAGUUAAGAUGCAAUUUCUCCUGAUUCAGAAAACUAGCUAGAAAUUUUGAUAAACAAUCUAAAAAUCCUCAAAAAUUAAAUGGAUCUUGAAAUAAUCAGUGUGUCCCUGUAUCUAAACAGGGCAGGUUAAAGUUAUUAUCUUGGGUUAGGAAGUUGCAGGAAAGUAGAAAGUAUAUUCUCCAGGUCCAUUCUCUCCAACUGGGUCUAACACAGGAUUGCCAACUCACCAGAAAGCUCCAGGUAUUGCUGUAGCUAUUUUUAAAAUCCUAGGCAGCUACAAGACCUAGAAUCUUAUCCACAUGUAAGCUGGGCUGGACAAUGCCACCAGGGGGUGCUAAAUCGCAACUGGCAGGAUGAUUGUGAAUCAAGCAGUUUUAUCUUCAGAUCUCUGCCCACUCUCUUACAUGCUAUGCUUUGUUACAGCGGAUGAUAAACAUUAUGGCUGUAGCUUUUUGCCCCUUCCCCAAUAUGGAAAGAGAAAAGGAGGUAGGCUCAUCUUGUGCCUUCCUCAAUUCUCAUGCUCAGGAAUGAUGGAUCUUUUAGCUUCGUAUCUUUGCGGGGGUAAACACCCUGACAUCUCUAGGCACUCUUCAAAUAUCUUUUGAACAAGCAAAUUAAAAUCAGUAAAUAAGGAAUACUUCUGUAACCUUCACAACCUCAUCUCUAUGACUUCCCAGCAUUCUCUCUAUCCAAGACCAAAGGCUUUAUAACCUUGCAUUCUCAUAACUUUUUUGAAUGUGAGGUACUGGCAGGAGUGGUAGCCAGAUUGUGAAUUUGACGAUUAAGUAGCAGGCCUUUGCUCAACCUAAUUUAUCCAAAAUACCAAAUAUAUAAAACAAAAGAACCUCAUGCUCAGUUCCAGAUCCCCUCUGCUGAGAUUAAUAGGCCCACAAGUGGACACUAUUUUGAACAAGGAAGCUGGUGUUCUCAGAUUUUAUGGCCUUUUUUUUUGAGAUGGGGUUUCACUCUUGUCGCUCAGGCUGGAGUGCAAUGGCGCGAUCUCAGCUCACUGCAACCUCCGCCUCCAGGGUUCAAGCGAUUCUCCUGCCUCAGCCUCCUGAGUAGCCGGGAUUACAGACGCCCGCCACCAUGCCAAGCUAAUUUUUGUAUUUUUAGUAGAGACGGGGUUUCACCAUAUUGGCCAGGCUGGUCAAUCCUCAGGUGAUCCACCCGCCUUGGCCUGGGAUUACAGACAUAAGCCCUUCAUUCGGUUUACAGAAUUUAUUGAUUUUUCCCCCAGAAUUUUGUAGUUCAUGUUUUUCCAGGAAUGAUCAAAGUAAGUUUUUUUCUGGAGUCACAGAAAUACAUAAGUCUAGGGACUAACUAUAACUAGAAAACUUAGAAGGGAGUUUUGCCAAUGUCAUCUCAUUUUCCUGAGUGUAAGAAUCUUUUGUCCUACAAGUUUAGAGGUGAUAACAGUGACCUGACUUGAUAUUAACAGAAUCCAAUGCAGUUCCAAUCCUGGUAACCAUGUCCUUCAGCAGUUCCCUGAACUUAUAUAGGUAGGUAAUUUCUAGUGUCAGAGAUUAACUUUUGACAGUUUUAGCUUAUUUUGAUCAUCCAGUGUUAAAAAUCAUAAUCCAGCAAUGCCCAUAACCUCAUGAAAGAUCUUUCUUCUUUCUUUCCUUUAAGAAAAAAAACAAACCUGAUCUGGUAGAAGGACCUUUUCCAAUCAAAGACCUCCUAUACUAAAUCUCUUAUCCCAGAACUUCUUUUAACCUAAUAGCAGGGCAGGGUAAGACAAAGCUAAAGAGUUUGCAUUUCCUCCAGAUACUUGGCAAAUCUGCAAAAAAUCUCUUUCCCUUUCAAAGCUUCCCUCCCAUUUUGACCUCUAUUUAGGAGGAGUGGGAAUAUGAAGAAGUGUAAAGGUGACAAUUUUCUUUACCCGCUUGUUAAAAUAUUUAAGUACCAGUUAACUAGCCAGCCAACAUGGAACGGGUAUAAAGACCCAGUCUCUGCCUUGAAGACCUACCAUCUAGCAGAUGGAGAGGGACAUGCUAACAAAUAGGGGCGCUAAGUUUUUAGACUGCUAUGACAGAAGAUUUAACAAAGGACAGUGGGAGAACAAAAAGAAGGGGUUAAAUCUACCUGGUGGUGGAGUAUGUCAGGAAAGACUUCUUCAGAUUGGCAAUUUGGCCUGAAUCUAGGAAAAAAAAUGAAUGGGGACAGGUGGGAGUAAAAAAGGGAACCAUAGACAGGAGGAGGUGUGUAAAGAUGGACAGAAAGCAUGGUAUGAUAGACACUACAAAAAUGAGGAAGUGCCG